rnacentral:rRNA from 1 species
UGGUGGAGUGAUUUGUCUGGUUAAUUCCGAUAACGAACGAGACCUUAACCUGCUAAAUAGUCAGGCCGGCUUUUGCUGGUCGCCGACUUCUUAGAGGGACUGUCUGUGUCUAACAGACGGAAGUUUGAGGCAAUAACA